rnacentral:rRNA from 1 species
CCUACGGGUGGCAGCAGUGGGGAAUAUUGCACAAUGGGGGAAAGCCUGAUGCAGCGACGCCGCGUGAGUGAAGAAGUAAUUCGUUACGUAAAGCUCUAUCAGCAGGGAAGAAAUACUGACCUUACGGUCAGCAGACUGUACCUGAGUAAGAAGCCCCGUCUAACUACGUGCCAGCCGCCGCGGUAAUACGUGGGGGGCACGCGUUAUCCGGAUUUACUGGGUGUAAAGGGAGCGUAGACGGUGCGCGAAGUCUGGAGUGAAAUGCCGCGGCUUAACUGCGGAACUGCUUUGGAAACUGGCGAACUAGAGUGCGGGAGGGGUAAGCGGAAUUCCUAGUGUAGCGGUGAAAUGCGUAGAUAUUAGGAGGAACACCGGUGGCGAAGGCAGCUUACUGGACCGUAACUGACGUUGAGGCUCGAAAGCGUGGGGAGCAAACAGGAUUAGAUACCCGGGUAGUC